GCUUUCUUUGCAGCUUCUACAGCUAAAUCUGAUUACAAUAACUUGAAAAAUAAAAUUAAGAUACGCAUAUAUAUAUAAAUCGUAGUACAUCAUAUGAGACAGAUUAAUUUACAACAAUGAGAAAGAUAAAUAAAAACACAAAGGUGCAUGAUAUAACGAGGCAUGUUCGAAAUUAUGUCCGAUUUUACGAUUUCAGUAUGUGCAAGCAAAAAAAAAAAAAAAAAAAAGCACUCAAAAAUUAAAUCACUUUACGAUUCAGGGUGGGUUGACUUUUACACCACUGCAAUAUAAAAAUAAAAUAGAACAUACUAAAACCGCAAUUCUUGUAUAAUCAGUUUUUACUAAACAACUACGAAAAAAUUAUCCCAAAAAAAGGUCCAAAUUCAAUCUAACCUAAACAUUGCCCGCCUCAUUCCCAUUCUCCAACAUUAACAUUAAGAAAUACUCCAUUCAUUCAACAACCACAAUUAUCAUAAUCAUCAAAUAAUAAAGCUUAAAAUCCAAAAAAGAAAUGGCGCAAUAGCAUGACAAUUGUGGAGGAGGAGACAAAAUUAUUGCACAUAAGAAAAACCAGCAAAGGAGAUACUUACAAUGAUCAUAUCCUAAAAUUGGCUUAUAAAUUUUGUAUGAAUACAACUCUUGACAAGUCUUAAUAUUUUCGUAUCUACCAAAUGUGAAAAUUACAAUAAUAAGGAUUUGAUAAAUAAUGAAACGAAUUUAACUAUAAUCAAAUGUGAAAAUUACAAUAAUCAGAAGACAUGUUUAAGACUAACUUAAGUUAUUACAUCAGUUUGAUUAACUUAGUAAAUGGCUGUGAAAUCUAUUUACCUAAACAAGCAGAAUGAAAUAGCUAUGAAAUUCAUUUACCUAGAAUAUGACUAACAAAAAACUAAGAUCUUCAAACUUGAAAUUUUGAACAGACAACCAAUUAAUGUUUUUCCACAUUGCACCAAUAAGAAAAUAUACAUACAUAUAUAUAUAUAUACAUAUAUAUAUAUAUAUAUAUAUAUAUAUAUAUAUAUAUAUAUAUAUAUAAAAACACAAAGGUGCAUGAUAUAACGAGGCAUGUUCGAAAUUAUGUCCGAUUUUACGAUUUCAGUAUGUGCAAGCAAAAAAAAAAAAAAAAAAAAGCACUCAAAAAUUAAAUCACUUUACGAUUCAGGGUGGGUUGACUUUUACACCACUGCAAUAUAAAAAUAAAAUAGAACAUACUAAAACCGCAAUUCUUGUAUAAUCAGUUUUUACUAAACAACUACGAAAAAAUUAUCCCAAAAAAAGGUCCAAAUUCAAUCUAACCUAAACAUUGCCCGCCUCAUUCCCAUUCUCCAACAUUAACAUUAAGAAAUACUCCAUUCAUUCAACAACCACAAUUAUCAUAAUCAUCAAAUAAUAAAGCUUAAAAUCCAAAAAAGAAAUGGCGCAAUAGCAUGACAAUUGUGGAGGAGGAGACAAAAUUAUUGCACACAAGAAAAACCAGCGAAGGAGAUACUUACAAUGAUCAUAUCCCAAAAUUGGCUUAUAAAUUUUGUCCCAAUACAACUUUUGACAAGUAUUAACAUUUUCGUAUAUACCAAAUGUGAAAAUUACAAGAAUAAGGAUUUGAUAAAUAAUGAAACGAAUUUAAUUAUAAUCCAUUAAAAUUAUGCAUCAUAAGACAUGUUUAAGACUAACUUGAGUUAUUACAUUAGUUUGAUUAACUUAUUUAAUGGCUAUGAAAUCUAUAUACCUGAACAAGUAGAAUAAAAUGGCUAUGAAAUUCAUUUACCUAGAACAUAACUAACAAAAAACUAAAGAUCUUCAAACUUGAAAUUUCGAACAGAUAACCAAUUAAUAUUUUUUCACAUUGGACCAAUAAGAUAAAAUAUAUUCACAUAGUUUAAUUUCAACCAAAAAAUAAAAUAAAAAACAUGUCCAAUCAAUAGAAGAUGCACAUAAAGACAUCGAUCAUUCAUAUAUACUAGACAUGUACAUGGAAUUGAACAAUAGUACAAGUACCAACUUUUUCCAUUGCAAAUAAAUCUAAUAUUGAAUACAUACCAAGGACAAUGAAAGAUGUUUUCUCAUCUCUUACAUCCUCAUCCUGAGUUCGGCUUAGUUCAAUAAUUGACUCCCAUCAUACAGAAAAGGCAAAUAUGUUAAAGGGCAAUCAAGUAAUAAAAACUCAAUGAAAUAUAUGGUCAUAGAAUGCAAGAGAGUAUAAUACAACUGUAAAUUACUGCCAAACUAGCAACUUUUUUGGGGAUAAAAGAGUCAAAUCACUUGAGAGAAAACAAAUAAUGCCAAAAAGAAAAACAUAAAAACUAU
rnacentral:lncRNA from 1 species